AGAGAGGCACUGCACUAAUAAAUGUGGAAGAAUGCCAGCUCUGUGGAAAUAUUGACAGGUCUGGUGUAAAAUUCAGUUUUUCCAAUACCACUCCAACUAAACAGAAUGAAUGGAACAUUAGACUCUCAGGGCCUGUGGCUGCAGGUACAUCACUCACUGAACACCUUCCCAGCUAUGCAGCUAAGGGGCGAAGGCCGAUGUUCUGCUUAAAAUCACAAGCCUACCAGCACUUCUUCUGCAGCAGGUUCUCUCUGCAUUAUUUUUUGCUGAGAUGAAUUUACCCACCAUGCCAUGCUGACCACCCUUUGAUGAGAGCUGUCCUGCCAUCACCUAGCAGUCUGAGCACAACAAACCAUGCAACAGCGAUACAGAACCCUAUGACAAAGUUGUUCUCACUCGAGGAUGGUGUUUCAUAUGGUGCAUUUGUUUCCUGGUGAAUCUGCGUGCUCUGCUCCCUCUGCAAUAUUCAUUAACACAGAUACUUCUAUUCUCGAAGAGCUCGUGAAAAUAUGAAGAUGACUAGGGGAAGAGAUCCCAUACAUUUUGGAUGAAGAACACACUGAAGAGUUAAUACAAGAGUCGUGUGGCGUAAGAGACGCCACACUGGACACAGCAAGAUCUUUCAUACAUGGUCAGAGCUCAUAGCCAACCAGAAGAUAAGUAUAUGCUGGUUUCAGUAGUUCAAGUGCUCAAAAAUUAAAUAUUUAGAAAGCACAGUAAUAGAUUCUGUAGAAGAAUUGGGUAAAUCUAAGUAACUACCUGCCCUCCCAUGUCCUCUUGAGAUCCACAUGAUGUGGAGUCCAUUACUUGGGAGCCUCUCUGGCCCAGUCAGGUCAUCAGGCUGGCAGCACUUCCCAUUUGCCUCUGAGCAGUUUUACUCUUUGGCAGCCAAUACCCAGUCACAGAGAUAUUCCUUACAGUGAAAGCAAAUCAUCAUCUUUUUUCCUCAACUUUCCUCAAUAGAUCACUUUUAAAAAAAAGACAAGCUUGUAUAUACAGAAUUUUUAAUUUAUCACUGGUGACAAUUUGUUGCCCUUCAUGACAGUCUCUUAACACAUAAUAGUUGGACAUUUCCUUUCAUCAAGAAAGAAAAAUGACCAUAAAUGGUUCUGUUUCUUUAAAACUACUGUGGUAUUUGACUGUUGCAUUUCACAGGCACGAGGAAGCACAUUUGAAACAAAAAUAAUAAUAUACUCUGGUGGAAUAUUUCCAUGUCUGUGUGUUUAAAGUCUGUGACAUGAACUCAGUGAUCUGCAAGACCUUGUCCAGGAGAUCACAGAUUCACCACUACUUUACAGUUUGACACCACUGUUCUUUCUCAACUGCUAAAAUGCAGCAGUCCCUGUCUGGGGUAUUAUUUAGAGUACUCUAAAUCAAGAACUAAUCUGUGCAACAAGAAAUGUCACCACAAUUUGUUUUAUUUGGAAUGAUCAUAAGGCCAAAAGAUAAAAUUUCUACAUAGGUGCAUAUAUCAUAUUUUAGAAAUAGGCCUUUGAGUGCAUUAUGGAAAUAUGUGGUUGGUACCCACAGGAGAAGGAACUUAAUAAUUAAAAAGAAGCUUAGCUGAAAACAUGGAAAUCCUUUAAUUAACUUGUAUGAUAUAAUGUACCUCUUAGCUGCCUUUCAACUCUUCAGCUGGAAUUAGGUGCAGAAUCUGGCAGGUAACGGGGGACUCUGCCAAUGUUUUAAGUCCCCUUUGUGAGGGAGAUCAAAAGUAAAAAAGAUUGCAAUUAAGAUAUCAUGAUGUGUUCUGAAGAUAUGUGAGAGUGUCUUCAGAACAACAGUUUUGCAGAGCUGCCAGGUGCCUUUGUUCCUAGGUGUUUAUGAUCAUCAUUGUUGUUCCAUCAUCACAAUAGGGUGAAUGCUAUAGAUAAGAUCGCAAGUAUAUAAGGUAUUGCUAUUUAUAUGCACAUCGUGUUGUCUUAUUACAGGUGCAUGCAACUUCUUACUAAGCCAGGGGAAAAGAAAAGCCAGCAUUACUCCUUAGUCCUAUUAAUUAGAAUUAGAGAAUGAAUUAGUUAUAUUUAUUAAAGUCCAAACUUCUGCAAGAAGGCUUUUUGUUGGUGUGCUUAAUCUGAACAUAAUUAAUGGAACAGUAUAUUAAGCAAAUUAAUAUUUGGAGAUAAUUUUAUAAUUUUCAGUACAUAUUUCAAGCAAACUCUUUCAAUUCUCAUCAUCAUCAACAGUGCGAUGUCCUUGGCUGAAGCAAGGAAACAGCUGUUCAGUGUACUUUAUUUUAGAAUUAAUGACUAACUUUUACCGCCCUACUCUUUUUCCCAGAGGUGGAAUAACCCUUUCCCUAGAAUUUUUCAGUGUUUAUCUUAUUGCUUAGGAUAGUUAAAGGGAAAAUGCCUUUUUCGCUUGUGAGCUGGCUCAAGAACACAGUCAGCUGGCCAGGUUGGUUCAAGCCAGACUAUAUUUCAUGCAACAAAAUCUACGAGACCAAAAUCAAUGUUUAAGAAUUGCUAUUAAUAUCUAUCGUUCAUUCAUGCCUUUAUUAAUUACUUCUCUCUCUUCAAUACAUUUAAAGGAAAUCACCACAUUUGAAUAUACUUCCCUGCUCCCCUCUCCUCUGUUUGCCAUAACUCUGCAACUUUGCAGCCUCGGCAGCAGGGCGAGGACAGGAAUCCUGCCAAGGAGCAUUGGGAUAAUUGGAGAUGCUGAACAGGAGAAGGAAGGUUGCACCAUGACCAAGUCAUACCGCUCCCUCCUUUCCUUCUGUCCUUCAUUGCUCAGUAUAGUCUUCUGCUUGCUGGUUUAUAAAGGAGAGGAUCUGCUCAUGAAAAAAUUUUCAUGUGGAAAGCUACACCAAGCAAUUUCUUGAGACUCAGACUGCAUUUCAUUUACAGAAAUGCCAAGGUUGCUAUUGCAUCAAUACUUCUCAGUAGUACACUUUAUUAGGCCCCACCUGUGAAGUGGAAAGGAAUAAGAUUAUUGAAGAAAGCUUGCUUUUACUUGACAGGUUUUCAAGUAACAGAUCUAAUUAUCAUGCCAUAAACUGACAAUUUCAUGGGAUAAUCCUCUGAUAAAUACUGUGUUAGAGCCAACACAUUUUCUCAUUAAGGCAAUUGGAACGGAAAAAGUAUUUUCCUUGCCAUGGGCACAUUAGAACAUGGUCAGGCAGGAGCUAUGAAAAAAACAGGUGGCAACUUUAUUAUAGUUACAGAUAACAUGUUCAACUUCAGACAUGGAACCGGAGAACAAUUCCUGCAGGCAGCUACCAUCCAUGGCUUUCUGCAACAGCGUCACUUUAGCAGGGCCACAUGACAAUAUGGUUUUGUUGGUGCUAUGUGUUUUUAUCUAUGUACG
rnacentral:lncRNA from 1 species